ensembl:snoRNA
UCUGCAGAAAUGAUGAGUUUUUCAUGUCUCUUCUCUGAUUCAGCAUCUGUGGGGAGAACUUUCAGACCUCUGAUCUGCAGA